GAACGAGAAAGUCCCGCAAGGGAUGAGUAAAGUGGCGCACGGGUGAGUAACACGUAGCUAACCUACCCUCGAGUGGGGGAUAACCUGGGGAAACUCGGGCUAAUACCGCAUACGUCCGGGCUGCACAAGCAGUUCGGAGCAAAGACCCGCAAGGGUCGCUGGAGGAGGGGGCUGCGGCCGAUUAGCUAGUUGGUGAGGUAACGGCUCACCAAGGCGACGACGGGUAACCGGUCUGAGAGGACGGUCGGUCACACUGGCACUGAGAUACGGGCCAGACUCCUACGGGAGGCAGCAGUGAGGGAUUUUGCACAAUGGAGGAAACUCUGAUGCAGCGACGCCGCGUGCGGGACGAAGCCUUUCGGGGUGUAAACC
rnacentral:rRNA from 1 species